rnacentral:rRNA from 1 species
AGAGAGAGACAUGCGCGCAUAUCAAUAAGCGGAGGAAAAGAAACUAACAAGGAUUCCCUUAGUAACGGCGAGUGAAGCGGGAAGAGCUCAAAUUUGAAAUCUUCAAGGUUUUACCUUGACGAAUUGUAGUUUAAAGAAGUGUUUUCUGUUGAAGUUUUGGUAAAAGUUCUUUGGAAUAGGACAUCAUAGAGGGUGAGAAUCCCGUAUUUGACCAUUAUUUUCAGCUGUGUGAUACACUUUCAAAGAGUCGGAUUGUUUGGGAAUGCAGUCCAAAAUGGGUGGUAAAUUUCAUCUAAAGCUAAAUAUUGGCGAGAGACCGAUAGCGAACAAGUACCGUGAGAGAAAGAUGAAAAGAACUUUGAAAAGAGAGUUAAACAGUACGUGAAAUUGUCAAAAGGGAAGCGUUUGACACCAGUGUUGUUUUCUCGAAAAUCAAUUAAAAAGAGUUAGAUUUUGUUGUGUAUUGACCUUAACAGCUUGCAUUUCAAUUUUUCUUGCUUUUUUUAAUGCACUUUUCAGUUAACAAGUCAACAUCAAUUUCUUUUGCUGUAAAAAAGCUUGAGGAAGGUGGCUUGAGAUUCGUCUUAAGUGUUUAUAGCCUCUUGGCCUAUGCAAUCGGAGAGAUUGAGGUCUGCAGCGUAGAUCCUUCGGGGUUAGAUACAUUUGUGCUAAGUUAUAGCCUUUCAUAGACAACUUGUUGACUAUGAUCAGUCAUGUAGCUUACUCGCUUAUGCUAUUUUACCUACGCUUAGGAUGUUGAUGUGAUACUGCGAGCA